UACAACAGUGCCUCAGCAGGUGGCAGCACCUAGCUGAUUUUGGAUGAUCUUCAGAAGUUAAGCAGAUUCAGACUGGGUUGGCACUUGGAUGGGAGAUCACCUGGAAAUUCCUGGACUGUAGACA
rnacentral:rRNA from 1 species